rnacentral:lncRNA from 1 species
GGAUGAGAUUGUGGCCCCUAAAGGCAAAGGCAAUGAUACCAAAUGCAUUAAACACACCAAGAAUUUUUUCAACACUGUUACCUCCCCUUACUGGAUUAUAAUUCACACCUGGUAGGGUACCCUGUGCCACGGAAGCCAUCCAAAUGGAGGUACAAUACCCUACAGCAGUGACUGCUCCAAUAAGGGAAAUUCCAGCAAUUGAAUUCAAGUUUGGUAACUGAGACAGAACCACAGCAACACAGGUAAAAACCAAGUACCAUUCCACGGUAGUCAUAGGUUUGGAAUUACAUGAUUCUCCACAAACAACCUCAUAGAAUGUUCUUGCUGUUGAUCCUCCUAUGAUGAUCAAUGUAGUACAUGUCCCAGCUGAUAGGUAUAGUAUUGGAAAUAAAGCUAGCAAUUUCCCCAAUUUCUCACCUGCAACAUUCCGUUCCAACACUUCAUCAAUUGAUUUUGCCUAAUUUUGUAGUUAGUUCAAGAGAUAAAAUAAUGUCCGACCAAUGUUCAACCCAUGAAUCAAAUUUGUGAACUAUUUGAAGGAUUCAACAUUAGCCGAAGUACAUUAAUUAUUUGAGGCCAACUAUUUAGUUUUUAAUUACCUAUCUCCGUGAACUUAUAAGGACAAUGCAUAAUACAUGCAAGGUCGGAGUUCGAACCCAGACACCACAAAAAAAUCACUACAGUACAUAUUAAAAAACCGACUAUCCAAAUUGUUUCAUAGUGGUUCACAUCGGGCCACAUAUUUAAUCUAGUUAGACUAAAUUAAAUUACGCAAAACACUUGAUUUGUCAGGAUUAUGCAAUCCAAACAUGUGCAAAUUUACCCAUGUUUUUAAAUCAGCCAAACAUAUGUUGAUUUUGUAAUUAUUUUAAAUUAAUUACAUUAUUGUUUACAAAUUGUCCUAACAAUCAUUUAAUACCACUCGUUACUCUUAUUGUUUGCACAAGCAACUCAAUUUUUGAUGAACAUCACUACAUCUACCAAUAUUGUCAUGUUACAUGCCUAUCUUUUUAUUUAAUUCACAUUCAAACUAGACAUGAUGUAUAGUUCAAUCAAUAGUUUAUUGCAUGAAAAUGACAUUUGUUGUUAGUUACACAUUACAUUUUCAGCUAAAAUUUGUUGCAUUUUGUUAACCAUGAAAAUUCCUAUUCUCAUUUUAUGGAAAAAUAAAUUGGAUCUAAUCUCAUUUUAGAGAGUAUAUUUUCUCUAAUUUGGUGAAAACUUAGGUAAGUAUUACUUGUUGCAACAUCUUCCUUAAAUCAAAUGAAAAUAUAGUAUCCACAAAAUGAAAAAGAAAUGAAUGAAUACGUGGUUGCAUCAUACCAAAAGUAACAAAGCAGAGUUGAAGGUAUCGACUAUAACGAACACCAUCCUUGGAUUCGUGAAGAUGGACGAGCAACCAUAAGGUAUAAAGCUGCCAUAUGAAUGCUAUUGUCAAACUUAUUAUUCCCCAUGUCCUGCAACCAAUCACACAUUUGUUUCAUCAAUAUUAAGAGCAUGUGUGUGUGUGUGUGUAAGAAAAUGGUUGAAAAAACUUUCUUCUUUGUUGACAAUAUAUAUAGGGUUUGAGAUAAACUUGAUUUUAGAAGAAAACAUAAAGACAUGUGAUAGUUAUUAUAAAUUAAAAUUAUCUCCCUCUUGAAAAAUAAGUUUGAUUAAAAGUGAUAAUUAAAUUGUACUACUAUUUUCUUCCUUAAGUUAUGUUGAAUGUAUUUCUUUUAAGUAUGUACUUAAAAUAAAAUAUUAAAUAUUAAUUUUUACCAACAUACCCAACCCAUUACCGUCACCAUCGACCCAUCCAAUAUUGUACCCCCACCACACCUUCUAAUAUUUCAGUACAUCAACAUGUUAAAUUUUUGUGUGUUUAUGUUUAGAUAAAUGAAUUUCCUAGCUUAUAAUUUUUUUUUAUAAAAUACAAAUUAUUAAUAAUAACUUGUGAAUCAAAUAAGUACUAGUGUAAAAGACUUGAGUGAUUCUAUAAGUUAUCAAAUAUUCUUUUAAAAAAAAGUUAUCAAACAUAAUUAAUUAUUAUAGAGUUAAAGAUUAUUUUUUUUUAAUAAUAUUAUGACAAUUAAUAAUCCCCAUUUUAAAAAUGCUUAUUUAUAAAACAAUGAAAUAUGAAUUUUUUAGAUGUAAAAAUUAUUUUAAUUUUAAAAUUAUACAACUACGGGUUGUAGUAUUUUAAAACAAAAACAAAAUGGGAAAUAUAUGGACAACUUUGAAAAUCUGGUCUAUCAUGAAUUUAUUUAUAAAUUUUAGUCUAAGUGUGUUGAAUAAACUUUAUUACAGUUGACUAUUGUUAUUUUAUAUUAAACAUGAUUAAAAUGCAUAGAUAACAUGAAGAAUUUGUAAAAAAGUAAUUUUUUAAUCAAAUCACUCAAUCAUCUUUGAUUAUUUUAUUACAUUCAAUGAUUAGCAAAAUUUAAAAUUCUAAUUACAUCUUGAUGAUAUUUUUAGUUGAUGAUAAUAUAACGAUAUCUUUAAAAAUAAUUUACCCAUAUAAAUAAAUUAGUCACAAUUUUUUUAAUAAUUAUUUACCCAUAGUUUAAAAUAUUUUAUAGAGUCAUUCAGUUAUAUUGGAGUAUGAUAUCACAUUGUCAUAUCAUUUUGUAAAAGAUCUCAAAAUAUUAGCUAGUAUUGUAAAAAAUCUUCAUUUAGAUUUUAUCUCAAUACUAGUAGUAGGUAGUAGCAUGAAGGAGAAAACUAAUGACAAAAUGAAUCUGAAAAAUGGAUAAAUUAACAGUGAGGAUAUAUAACUAAGAUGAGACUGUCCACUAAACAAUUAUUGAAAAAUGAUAGGCAUGAAAUGAGAGGCACACAUGCAUGAGUCAAUUUUAUAAAUAAAAUAUUCACACUUGAAUCAAUUAAAAAUAUGAAUGAAGAAGAACUUACCAACCAAGAAUAGUGAAAGCAACAGGAAGAACAAGAGCUUGAAUACCAAUCCCAGAACAAAGAGUAUGAAAAGCAGCAUAAUAUUUGUUACCAUUUCUUGACUCAGUUAUUGGAAGCCAAGCAUCUUGAGGAUCAAGUUUGAUUAGUCUCAAAGCAUUCCUAACAGGUGUUCCUAAAGGGGUAAUAAACCUUGGUGGGGUAAAAGACAUUCUUGGUGUUCUAGGGGUCUUGUUCUUUGGAUUUGGUGUAUCCUCAUUCUCUGAAUGAAGAAGGGGUGAUCUUGUGAGAGAUGGUGAGUAUUGAAGCUGAGAGGGGGGACAUGAUACUGGUGAUUUGAUUUCCUUAGCUUCAGCCAUGUGUUUCCUCACUUUGUUCUCUUGUUUUUCCACACCUACUGUAUGUGUUGCACUUUGGAUGUUUAUAUAGAUGGGUGUGGAAGAAUUAAUGUAUAUAAUAUACUAAAGAGAUUAAUUGUUAUGUAUAGGUGAGUAGAAUAUUUUUACAUAUAUUAUAUUAAUGCAAUAAAAUGAUUUUAAAAUUUGGGGUAAGUCUAAGUCAACCUUUACGAAAUAUAUCGAUAAGGUAAGAAAAGUUUUUUACAUAUAAAAUUAUUUUAAAAUCAUUUCUCAUCUGAUGUGGAUUCUCAACACCUGUCUCACAUCUUUUAAACCAAAUAUCUAUUGCGAGAAUUAUUUUUUUUUUUGAAAGAAUCUAUUGUGAGACUUAUAAAGUGGCGUUGUAGUGGGAUGUUCAACAAAUCAUAUAUAAACUUUCAUACCACUUUAAAAUUUAAAUUGCUUUUAAUUUGACAUUUACAAAUUUGACAAAUCAUAUUAUAAUGUUACUUAGGGGCAGAUGCGACCCAUUUGAGUGACUUCGAUUAAACCUUUUAAACUUAAAAAAGUACGCAUAUUUUGAUAGUUUCUACUACUUGAUUCUCCCUCCAUAACAAAACGCAGGUGAACAAAAAAGUCAUAUAUAUAUAUUUUUUUUUUUUAAUUUUAGACUAAAUAUAUAUGAUUAUGUUAGAUCUUUUAUUUGUCCUCAUUAGAAACAAUGUAUAAUAUAUGUAAGGUUCGUGACUAAAAAAAAAAACUUUUAUUUAUAUUUUGUUCAAAAUGUAGUAUCAAUUAAUUAAUAUUGGUUUUGUAAAAAAAAAUAAUAAUAAUUAAUAUUGGUCACGUGACUCAACAAUGUAAUGGGUAAGAAACAACAUAAAAACUUCAAUCAUAUCCUUUAUUUUUUAGUAAAAAAAUCUUCAAAUUCUAUCCUUCAAUAAAUCAACAGAAAUAUUUUGGGUCCAACCAUACUACUAUAGACUAUAUAAAGACAAUGAUACUGUUUUUUUAUUUAAUAUUCAAUAAACAUUCUCUCUCCAAUAAAAUCCUCUCUAUAUAUAGUAUAUGAUUUAACUUGUUUGUAUAUAUUCUAUUUAAUAUGUUUUAUUUAUAAAAUAAAAUAUUAUAUUAUAUGUACUAUUAUAUAUGUCAUAUAUAUAGUAUUUAUGUUUUUACAAGAAAAAGUAUAUAUGUCAUAUGGUAUUUAUUUCUUUUCAAGAAAAAGAAGAAAUAUGUCAUUAUAUUGCAAAGGGUAUUCAUAUAAAUAUCUUUUUUGUUUGUGUUGGCAUUGUUCUUCAAAUAAUAUAUGUACACUAUAAAAAAGAUCACAUGUGUGUCCACAAGUCUUAACUUAAUUGAUAUAAAUAUGAAAAUUGAUACUUCUUACGUUUCUAAAUAUAAGUAAAAUUGACUUUUUAGAUUCAUUCAUUUAAUGAUGAAUGUAACAGGAAAUUAUGCAGCAAACUUCUUGAUUGUAUCAAUAUCAAUAUCAAUAUAGCAUUGAUUGUAACUUUUUUGAACAUAAAAAUCAAAUUAAAUAAAGGGCAUUUUCGGUAUAUCAUCAUUAAAUAUGUAGCAAAUUGUCAACUUUUGUUUGUAUUUUGUAACCAGUAGAUGGGUCAAAAUUUGCUUAUACAUCCUCCGUCCCAAAUUGUAUGUCGCUUUGGAGAAAAAAUUUGUCUCAAAUUAUAUGUCGCUUUACAAUACCAAUGAAACAUUAAUGUUACUUUUCUUAUUAUAUCAUUAACUAUUUAUUACUAUCUCUUCUUUUAAUUUUUUCAUUUAUCUUUCUCAUAUCAUUUAUUAAGGACAAUUUUGUAAAACAAUUCAUAAUAUCUCUUUUCCGCACAAUAUUAAUUACAUUUCUUAAUACGUGUGAAAUGCCCAAAACGUUAUAUAAUUUGGAACAGAGAGAAUAUAUCGUAACGGAAGGAGUAAGUUAGACAUCGUGAUUAGGGUUUGAAUCCAGUAUAUGUUUCUAGUAACUAUUGUCACUUCUUUUGCAAACACCGAAAAAGAAAGAUCACAUGAGUUGUGUUGUGACCAAAAUUUAUGUGUUGUAGAUAAAAGUUUAUGAUCCGUUGUUUUCCAUGUUCUUUACAGCAAUAUAUAUUAGACACACCCUUAGACAAAUUGUUUGUCACAUGUAAAACUCUCAUACUUCAUUAUCUUCCUGACUCAAAUUAUAAACCGAAAAUGAAUAUGUGCUAUGUAGCUGUCUUAGCUCAGCUGGUAGAGCGCGUGGCUUUUAACCACGUGGUCGUGGGUUCGAUUCCCACAGACAGCGACAAAUAAGAAAUUCUUUUUAUUCCUUUCUUUACUUUCAAUUUUCUUUUGCUUAUACUUUUUGGGAAAUGUUAAAAGAGUGUUUUAAAUGCACUUUUUAACAACUUUAAAUAGUAAGUUUUUGUAAGUUUUUAUAGAAGUUUAUGAAUUUAAUGUAUUGAAAAUUGAAGUAAUUGAUUUUUUCAAUAAACAUUUUUUUAAUUAGAAAUCCUUAACGUGAGGACCCAUACUUUUUUAUGGGAGCCUGUUUCUUUCUGGAAAAAAAAAAAAGUUUAGUGCAUACUCCCUACGUAUCUAAAUAUAAGUAAAUUUUACUUUUUAUGUUCAUUCAAUUAAUGAUGUAUGUGGUCAAUAAUAUGGACCGCAUACAUCAUUAAUUGAAUGAACCUAAAAAGUAAAAUUUGUUUAUAUUUAAAAUGGAGGGAGUAUGUAACACUCAUAAAUAUACAGUUACUUUGUAACAAAAAAGUGCAAAGAAAUAAUUUCAUAAUACACCCCAUUUAACUAUUUCUAUGGUUCUUUCAAAAAAAAAAAUAAUACUAUUUCUAUGGUCUUAGUUCAUUUUUCAAGCGGGGAUAUGUUCAUUGUUCAACUAUAUGAAAAUAACUUUUUAUUCUUUGCUUCUUAAAAAAAACUUUUUCUUUGUUAAUAGAAACUAUAUGUAUAGAACUUUAUGUAUUUUUUUAAAGAAUAUAUGUAUAGAACUUGAUGUCUUGAUUUAAGUUUUAUCCUAAAAAUAAGUAUAAUGAAAUGAAUGAAAGUUUACUUAUUUUCUUAGCCACUACUAAAAUAAUUUUAUUUUAUAUCUGAGUACGGACGGAAUACUCAUGUACUACUACAAAUAAACUAAUAUGUAUCCAUGAUUUUAUUAUUAAAAAUAAUUUAAUUGAUAAUGAAAUGAUGGAGAAAAAUCGUUUUCAAAAGAUAUACGGUAGAUCCAAUAAGCAUGCAAUUGCAAAAUUAUGUCUCAAACUAGGUGUGUAGAGACGUAGGAGCAUUCCAUGCGAACAUUGUAUGAUACAUUUAAUUAUUUAGUAGACUUUGUGUGACCGGCCAAAUAAAAGUAUCUACGGUGGUUGGUACAUAAUUAAUUUCUUUAUUUCUUUAAAAAAAAAAAAAUAUUCUUUAUUGUUUUGGUAAAAAAAAGUCAUGGAAAAAUUAACCGAUUGUGUCAACGCAUCAAUUUGUUCUAAGAUAGUAUUUGGCCCGACUUAUUUUUGACUUUUCUACAUUAUAAAAGGAGAAGUUGGGCCAAACAUAUUUCUUGAGAAGCACUUAAUAUAAAAAGUUGCUUAUUUUUUGUGUGUAAAAUACACAAAUAAAUGACUUUUGUUAAAGUUGUUGAAACCUACUUCUAAAAAUUCUCGGCAACUUUUUUCUAAGAUUUCCCCUUCGAAUCCCACUGAGCACAUUUUAUAUUUCAUUUUAUUUGAUUUCUUACAGCAUGCAUGUGGUCUACAAUUGCUGUUUUUUGUUUGUUUUUACCAUUUUUUUAAUUGCUAUAAUUUGUUUAGGUUAAAAAAUGGUCAUCUUUUAUUAAUGGUAUUAACAAAUUAGUUAUACAAAUUUUUCUUAAAAAAAAAUUAGUUAUACAAAUUACUAUUCAUAAAUGGGCACUUUUUAUUGACAAUAUGGUAUACUAUUUUUUUUUUAAAGGAAUGGUAUAUUAUUUAUGACGUGCUCUUUUAAAUAAAUAUUGUGAUGUAAAUUCAUAGGUUCAUGAUGUAUAAAUUUUUAUAAAUCUUUUUUUUUUGACAAAGAAUUUUUAUAAAUCUUAUUCACCUCUUUAUAUAUAAAAUUUUUAUAAUUUUUUAUUCAUUUUCCCCUAAAAUAAAUGUUUGUUUCAUUUUAAAAAUAUUUAUUUAUUUAUCAUAAUUUAUUAUGAAAUAUGAACUUUCUUAAAAUAAUUCAUUUUGUUUAAAAAUAUUAUCAAACACUUUAACAUAAAAUAGAUUUUGAAAUAAAAAGAAAAAUUUACCAAACAACUUAAACUUAAUUUCUAAAGCUCAUAUUUUAACUUCAUGCUAUUUGUGGUAUGAUUUCGGUUAAUCAUUCUUUGCCUAAUUUUUGAAUGGUUAAUGUUUCAAGUUUGAUGUAUGGUUUCAGACAAAGACAUCUGGAUAUUAUCGACCUAACUUUGCAUAAUUCAACUUUACACCCAUUCUAUUGUCAAAAAACUUUACACCCAUUCUCUGCAUAUAUUUCAGUUUUUUUGAAGGAUGCAGAUAUUUCAUUUCUUCUCUUAUCAUAUACUCCCUCCGUCCCAAAUUGUAUGUCGCUUUGGAAAAAAAAAUUGUCUUAAAUUAUAUGUCACUUUACAAUACCAAUGAAAUAUUAAUGUUACUUUUCCUAUUAUAUCCUUAACUAUUAAUUACUCUAUCUUCUUUCAAUUAUUUCAUUUAUCUUUUCCAUACCAUUUAUUAGGGAUAAUUUUGUAAAACAACUCAUAAUUUCUCUUCCCCACAUAAUAUUAAUUACAUUUCUUAAUACGUGUGAAAUGGCCAAAACGUCAUACAAUUUGGGACGGAGAGAGUACCGGUCAUCUAUAAUACCAUAUUCCUCUCUUCUCUUUCCAACUGUACUCCUCAUUUUAUUCUUUCAGAUUGUCUUUUAUUCUAUUUUAACAUAACUAAAUUGUUCAUAAUGAACAUGUCCGGUCCAAUUAAAUUAAUGGCUCUGUUCAAAUAUAAAAAAUGAACCUCUAAUAAAAAAAUAGAAAAAGUCAUCAUCAAUUUAAAUUUUAAAUAACAUCAGACAAAACACAAUUUUUUUUAUUUUUUAUAAUAAGUUAUCAGUUUCUUGUUUAACUUUUACCUACAGACAAAAUCGUAGAUAAAUUUAAAAUUAAACCAUGAACAUUUAUCUACUGAUGACUAAAAGUAAAUUUUCUUGUUUUUGAAAAAAUGAGCCCCAAAAUUUUGAAGCCAUGUUCUAUAGAACUUGUUGCACCCUCUAAGGAUAAUGCAUAUGAUGGAUUUGUGAUCCCCUAUUGAGAUGAAAAUUGCACACAACUUCAUAAAUGAAUUUAAAUUUCGGAUGAGUAGAGUUCUUCAUCUAAGAACCGAAUGAUUAACAAAAAUAUAUAUAAAAUUGCUCUUCUUCCAUUCAAAAUUACUUACUUCCAUACAAACUGAUAAAAAUAUCACCCACGUGACUUAAGUCACGUUGACUUCCAACGUGAGUUAACUCAUGCUCAUUACAGGUCAACGUGACUUAAAUCGCGUAGGUUGUAGGCCAGCGUGAGUUAAGUCACGCUCUGCCUGUGUCCAGUAGCAGAACAACAUAUUUGGUUUUUUUUCCUUCCUUCAUUCAUUCUUCCAUACACUCAUCCGAUCCAUGUGCGCUUUGUAAGGAUCUAUUACAACGAGACCCUUAACCGAUACAAAAAGCAUAACAUGGGGGGGGGGGGGGGGGGGGGGUGUUGAUCCUCCCUGUAAGAAUUUGAAUAGUCCAUGGGUAGGGCUCCGUUGAAGUGCUGAAAUGUUCAUGCAUGCAUUAACAUAUACUAAUCAAUAAACAACACAUAAUAUUACAUGUUUGACAUUUAGGUAAAUACACAUGGUUUAGAUUUCGGGCAUAUAAAUUGUGAUAAAUUAGACCAACUUCACUUCUUAAAUGGCACAAUGUUGGGUGAUUUUGGGUGUUUUGGUGAUUUUUUUAGGGCAAAAAUGUAAUUAUUGAAAUGGAAGGGGGUUUCUGAUAGUACAUAGGCAUGAUUCAAGUUAUAUAAUCCGAACAGAGGUAAAAUAGAAAGUUUGGAGAAUCCGCAAGAAAGCCAGAGGGUGAGAAAAUAAAUUCUCCAAUACAAAGCAUCCACAUCGGGUUGUUUAUCAGCGAGUCUAGAAUAUGAAAAUGACUCUUCUCACUUCUUAAAUUGUUGUUUUUUAGCUGUCAUCGAGCACUUUUAAGAUCAGUUAAACCCAUUUAAAAAGUUAUUGAACCACUCUUAAAAAUGCACAAUGACAAUUAACUGCCAUUUAAAAAGCCAAACUACUAUUAACCGUUGUUGAGCUAUGUUUUUGAGCAAUUUGAGAAGUGAGAAGAGUAAUUUUCCUAGAACAUUGUCACAUCAUAAUCAUUUUAACUUCUCAAAAGUUGCUCUUUAGACGCCUAACAAUUGCUCACAUGCAACUCAACCUCAAAUUACCCAAAAUAAUUUCAACGGCAAUUUACUAUCGUGCAUGGAUCUUUUUGAACCGAUUUAAAAAGUUCUGAACGACAAUUAACUAUUGUUUUAUAGUAAACAUUAAUUUAUUACCGUUUAGUAGGUGUAUGUAAGUAAUUGCUAGGUUGCUAAAGAGCAAUCCUCUAAGCACUUCUCUCAGCCAGCCAAAGUAAUCCAUAAAAUUAUCCCCUAAAAAAAUGUAGUCAUAAAAUUUUAAGCAGCAGUUAGAAUUUGUAAAUUUGUGAAUAUGUGUGUCUUAUGUUGUAUGCCUAAACUAUUUCAGGUAUUUCAUCCUUAACUCUGUGUUUAUCUACUCUUGGCCAUGAUUUGUCCUGGUGGUGUUUGCUGUUGCUCUUUUUUUCUACUUCUUCCACAAUUUUUUUCUCAAAAAUAAUUAUUAUUAGUGGAGAAAUUCCAUUGAAAUCUCGCGAGUGCCAUUGGUGUACGCCUCCAAUGAUGGCUCCAAAUUGUUUCCUAGCAAGCAUGGUACCCUAUUUUUGCUUGUUAGCCCAAAUCAAGCAUGGUAGCCUAUUUUUCCACCUCUAAUGGGAUAAUCGUGCAUAUGCUUCCUUAUUGGUCCUAGUUUCAAUUAGUGGCCGUUUUUCCUUUGUUGCUAACUUUAUAUGAGAAUACUUUCUUUAUGGAGGAGGGGGUGCAGGAGUGGAGUUGUGAGGCCAAUCAUGUCUACGGCAAGGGUAAUUGAUGUGCAGAUAAUUAAGUUGACAAAUCUUGAUGUCAUCCAGCUGUGAGAAGCCUAGCCUACGCCAAGUAAUAUUAUGCUAUAAAUAAGGAUUGACUUAUUGGAAUGGAUGUUAUAUAAGUCAAAAGGGUUUUGGAUCCGUUUUGAUUAACUUAUUUUCAAACUAUGUAAAUAAAUAAGCUUUUAUGUUAAUUCAUAAUAAGUUCUCAGUAACGAAAACUAUAUCUUCAUACAUUGUUUUUUAGAAACUAUCUUGAUAAGCUUAUGAAAAUAUAUUAAAGCUUCUUUAUUUGAAUAAGUUGUUUUACAUAAGCUCAAAAAUAAGUCAAUUCAAACAGACCCUAUAACAUAUAUAUUCGCCCUAGUGCCAAGUAAGAGUUAUUUAUUAAAUAAAUUUGCUCAAUAUUUUUUUACAAGUUUAUUUAGUAAAAAAAAUAAUCAAAUUUUAUGUUAUCUAAAUUUGGUCCAAGACACGUUUUGAAACUUAUAUUUAAUUUAAAAGAAAUGUUAGCUUUCUAACACUUACUCUACUCUUUUAUCGGGUGAAACACAUGCGGGUCUUACACUUUGAGACACAUAAUGAGAAGUGGUCACUCGGCCAUGAGGUUGUAGACAUAAACUUGGACUUCAUUAGGCCGAUUUGGAGACAAGGAUGUGAAAUAAACAGUUGUAGUUUUAGUGGUUUACUGAAGUUGUUCAACCUAUCAAAAUGUAUAUUUUAAUAGGAUUUUUUUGCUUAUAGAACCUUGCAAAAUGAGUUUUUACUAAAACUUGAGCAAUGUAUAGCUAUAUAUGAAGCAAUUCUCGACAAAAAAAGGUGAAAAUACAUGAAGGAGGAAGCAAGUCCUCAUAAAAUCUUCAGUCAUCCGAUAUCUUCCUAUGUCACGAGUAAUUUUCUUCUCCCUCGUUCUCUUGCAAAUGAGAUUGACAAAAUAAUGAAUUCUUUCUGUUAGGGUGGCGCGAUAGCAGGUACUCGUGGGAUCCAUUGGCUCUCAUGGGAGAGACAAGCUAUUAGUAAACAUAAUUUGCAAGCCUCCAAUUUAGUGAUGUUUAGUAAGCAAGGGUGUGGAAACUCACCACCAAGUCGAAUGGGCUAAUUACCCAGUUAUACGAAACCAAAUAUGAUUCAUCAAGUAAUUUUUUGGAGCUUCAAUUUGGUUAUAGUUCUAGUUAAACUUGGUGUAGUAUUUGGACGACGAGAUUUUUAUUGAGAGAUGGUUACAAGUGGAAUAAUGGCAGUGGCAGUGAUAUAUUCAAUGUCGUUAUUGAGUCUUUUAAGUAAGUUGCUCAAUUUAUGUCUUUCACUUUAAUGCUGGUUUUAGAUUUAAGAAGUUUAUGAUUUUAUCUUUUUGAUUAACCUUAUAUUUUCUGUAGCUUCGUUUUGUCUAUUUGGUUUAGCGCAGUGCUACUUUUUUAUUUUAUUUUUUUUAUUUUUAUUUUUAUAUUUUAUGAAAAUGCAUCAUAACCUAUGUGGGGUGUUUUAAUCAUAUUUGGAGACAUGUUUUAAAUGAAGUCAAACAAGUGACAAAUGAAAGAUAACAACUAUAACUACAACUUUAAUGAAUGCAAGUCAAAUUCUAACUGAAAAAGGCUAACAAAUGCAAAGUCGCGAAGCCCUGUCGAAUGGGUGGAGAUUGGUGUAGAAGAUCCACGAUCAUUGUGAUGAUAGAAGGUGUUCUGUUGAGGCUUCUUAGUUUAUUAGUAAUCCAUGUAGGGAUUAUUUGAAAAGUAAUGUUGAGGCAUCUUUCUCUAGACAUAGAAAAUGAGUUGGACUUGACAUAUGUAUUCGAGAUGAGUUUGAUAGUUUUGUCUCGACUAAACUAGAUUAGAUAUAUCAUCUUUUCUUUGUAGAUGAAGAAGAAACAUGUGGUUUGUUACUUGCUAUUCAUUGAAAAAUAUUGAUGCGGAGAUGGUUCGGAACGAACAGCGGAUGCUUUUAGUAAUCAUCUGAAAAAUGGAUCUAACUUUGGAUUCUUCAUUAAUGAUAAUAAGAAUUGUUUUCCUUGUUUUUACUUUAUUUAAUAAUUCUAUGGUCUAGUUAGUUAUGAGACAUGCUAACGAGGUAGCUCACUCUUUAGCGUGGGUAACCAAAUUAUUAUGCGAUGAAAGUGUCUUAAAAUCAAGUUUUUUGCGCUUUUGAAACAAGGUGUUUCGGAUUACGUUACUAAUCUUGUCCCAAGGAUCACUUGUGAAAUAGGGUGACUAGAAUCACAUUUUUCCUGAUUGGAAUCAUGCACCUCUCCCUAUAAAAAUAGAAACAAAUCACACAAUAGAUAAAAGACUAAAAGAAGGGAACACACAUGUCUUGUUAGGAUUUGAGUGUUGAGUGUCUUUCAAAUGUCUUGAUAGUGAAUUGGAGAGCUGUUCUCUCUCUCCCUGCCUGAUGUAUGUCAAUUUGAACAAACAAUUUCUUGGUGUCGGUUCUCUUCUUUCUUUAUUCGUUGUUUUUUGGAUUGAUUGUUUGUAUGCUCAUAGACUCUAGAUUUUAAAAAGUGGAGAUGUCAAAAAGUGCCGUACAAAUUUCAUUAAUCUAAUAAUCUUCUGUUUAAUGAAAGAAGGUUGUAAAAUGCAACUAAGUCUUCUUGUGAUCAUAACUAUACAAUCAACUGUAUUAAUCAGACUUAGAUAAGACAUGGAUAAUAUAUGAGUUUGAGCUUAAUUGUUUUCAAUAGAAUUUUAAUUUAGGCACAUAAAACCAAAUUCAUCGAAUUUCUUAGACUCAUAUACUAGUUGGUUUAUAAUAUUUGUUAGACAUGGAUAAUAUAUGAGUUUGAGUAUAUGUUACCAUCAAAAUUUAGUGAGAUGACAUAUCAAAUAUUGUAUUGGUUCCAAAAAGACAGACAUUAAAAAACAAAACAUAAAAAUCAAAAGAGGGUAUAAUAAUACAUAAAUGAUAAAUUACAUUAACAGUCAUGGUCUCACAUUAAGACAGUCAACUACUUAACUAUUUUCUAUUCUAUAUAUAAGGCACAUUGUAUAGGUAAAAUUUAACUACAUAGACAUCAUCAUAAAUAAAAAAUCUAGUAUAUCAACUUCAAUUAUGCAAUCAUGCUAGAUAUACUUAAAAAAAAAAUUACAACUACAAACUUGAGUAUACAAUUUUGAAUUUCUAAGAUAUAAUUUAAAAAAAUACAACUUCAAUUGUAAUCUUCCUAAGAAAUCCGCAUAUAUUUCCCUAGUAAUUUUUUUCCCUCUUUAGUUGAGACUACUGAGGGUUGAAAAAGCUUACAUUAACACCAGUAUCAAUAAUAACAUAUAUACUAGCUGUAACUAAUAUGACACUUAAAGCAACUCCAAAUGUUCCCAAGAACCAAUUGAGAUACCACAUGAAACUAUACUUCUUUGGUUUCUUUACUUUGAGCCACAUAAAACAUGGGUAUGCCAAUGUCACUGGCAAUGCUAUUCCUCCAAUCAAACCAGCUAAGCUAGACAAAAAUGGAAUUGCAACUCCUAUGAAGAAGCACAAAAACCCGAAGAAGACUCGGAAAAUUACUCGAAGCCACCACGGGCACGGUUUCUUCCAUCUAGUGGUGUAUACUGAUUCCAUGUCAUCGAAAGCCGGCAUGCCAUAUAUUUGAAAUGAACACAAACCAUUUACUACUACGAAAAAGCUGGUCAUUCCAAGUACAAAUUUUGAUACGUCUUGAGAAUGAAAUUGGUAUAGGGCCGUAAGCAUUCCUCCGUUUGCAGGAAUCUGUAUAUUUGAAGUCAAUGGUUUGUGAUUAGUUGACGGUGUAAAUUUAUAAUAAAAUUGCAUCAAAACUAAAUUCAAAUUAAAACAAUAUGGUACUAGUAUACCAUAAGACAAGUCAUAAUAUAAUUAAUUAGUUGGCUAAUUUUACUCUCUUUAGUUCUAAGUAAUUAGAUUAGAUGUACAUACCAAUUGCCCAUAAGCCCAAUAGCCACCAAUAGCUAAGGGAAAUAAGCAGGCAGCAAUGAGUGUGUAAGAAGCCUUCACUCCUUUCCACAUGGGCACAUGUGAUGGAUGCUUCUCACUUGAAGGCAUAGUAGCCUGCAACAAAAUUGGAAAAUCAUAAGAUGAUAAAUUACUUGAAGAAUACGUUGAUUGAUUAUUUAACAAGAAAUAAGUUACAUCUAAUCAAAUAUCUAAGAUUUAGCUCAGUUUAUUGAAAAAAAUAGAGAUUUAGAUUGUACUACAAAUCUUUUUUGUCAACAUAAAUUUAUGUAAGUUGGAAUAGUAAAUAUAAAGUUACUACUACUCAAUCAAAAUCUACUUAUUGAAUGAAGUUGACUAUACUCAAUAUUCAAUACUAUCUCUAUUUUUUUUUUUCCUCCUAUUCUGAACUUAACAUGGUGGACUAAUCAAUUAAAUAUAAAAGGAGAAAGUCGUACAAUAACUCCAAAUUGUGUGCUUGACCCAGCACAUCUAUUGAAGUUUUCAACAACUUUGAAAGCAGUAUUUUUUGUCAAUUGUCAACAAAACAAAGUAGUAACUAUCUCAUAUUCUCAUUACUUCAAAGUCAAAAGAAGAAACUGCAAAAAAAAAAAAAAAAAAAACUACAAAUUGGCUUUGCUAACGAAACAAUGACCACUCAUGACAAGUACCCAAUAAAUAUAUCAACAAAAAAUUGUUAAGUCAAAUAAUUUCAUUUCUCAUUAAUUUGAAAAAAUUUAAUUAGGUAAGAGGAAUAAAAAAUUUGCCACAUACCUGAAUUUCAAGAAUGAGAUUGUGACCCCUAAAGGCAAAAGCAAUGAUACCAAGGGCAUUAAGCACACUAAAAGCAUUUUCAACCUUGUUUUCACCCAUCACAGGAUUAUAAUUCACACCUGGUAGGGUACCCUGUGCCACAGAAGUAAUCCAAAUGGAGGUACAAUACCCUACAGCAGUGACUGCUCCAAUGAGGGAAAUUCCAGCAAUUGAAUUCAAGUUUGGUAACUGAGAUAGGACCACAGCUGCACAAGUAAAGACCAAGUACCAUUCAACUGUGGUCAUAGGUUUGGGAUUGCAAUGGUCUCC